ACUCUUCCUGGCUUCCUAGUCCUCUCCAUAGCCCUUUCCCAUUUACCCCAGAGAUUCACGUCUCCACCUUCUCACAGUUACACAAAUAAAACCCCAAGAGCACAACCCCAGGGGGAUGCUGUGGACGCGCAUGUGUACACACACACACACACACACACACACACACAGCGCUUACCGAUGCCCAGCUACACAGCUACACAGACGCCUGGAGACGCCGCUCCCCAGCUUCACCCCUUCUGCUCCUCCAGCUCGUAGAGAAAAUGAAGACCAGAAGGAGUUGUCUGUUCCAAGUGAACCAAGUGUCUACCAAGGUCACGGGGAAGCUCUCUCCGGAGUGGGUCAGCCAGACCAAAAUUGUGAGCAGAGGUGUUGCCUCCCCGCUGUGAUGGAAGAUGAGCUGCACUGGGAGCCAGAAAACCACAGUGUGACUGAUGGAAUAAAAUAAGACAUCAAGAAUAAAAGAAAAUUUAGAAAAUAUUCAAAUACAUGAAAAUUGAACAACAUGAAACAGACUCGUGGACCCAGCACGAAAAGCUGAGUUGCUUUUGGAGACCGCGGGAAACUGAGACCCAGAUCGAGACUCCAAGUAGCAGCCAGUUCUGCACCGCUGCACCAGAGCGGAUGUACAAAGCUCUGGCGAUUCAAAUCUAAACGGUGCACAGAAAUCUGACCGGUCAGCGCUGAGCCGCGAGUGGGGGAAUAGUGGACAGCUUGGUGUGCGGCGGUCCCGGAACGAGGACUUGCACCGGACUCUGGUGAGUACAAAAAACCCCGCGGCUGCUGGGUUUGGCCAGAGAACAGCUGGCCCGCCACCACGGGGAAAUCAAUAACACAGAGUCUGGUGCAGACAUAUUAGCCCGGCGGCAGAAAUCGCAGCUUGGUGACAUCACCAGGUCCCCCUGUAGGGAGGGCUGGUGGAAGACAUCUUGAGUCCUGGCAGAGCCUGAUUACUUGUUGGCUUCAGCUCCACACAGAGAACUUAGUGGGAGCCAUCUUUGUUUUGGGCAGAUCUGCUUUUCUGGUGCACCUAUCACAGAGAGGUUUGGAAGAGAACGGCUGGGACCUGGGCAGAAUCCUGUGCCAUUACUCAGCUGCUUCUGAUUCAAAGAGAACUGGCAGGAGCUACUAGGGCUAAACCAAGCCUCUGCUUGGGGCCCAAUAAGCAGAUACAAAAUAGUCACAACUCAGUGACAACCAGAAAGUACAGCCUAAUUUAUGAACUAACUGACACAGAGGCUAGAGACUAGACUGUACCGCCCCUACAUCCCAGCCUACCCCAGAUAACAGCAAAUUGGGGAGGACAGCAAAAACUCAAGCCAGCACGCUUCUGAAAGGCCCUAAGCAAUUCGGAGAGGGCCAGAGAACUCCAGGACAGUCUGAAAGAAACCAGAAACAUGACAAGAGAUAAAAAUAAAAAAAAAAACCUCCAGCUGUUCAACAGGAGAAAUUAAACCCAAGAGAACUAAACACUGAAGAGAACAAGCACAGUAACCAUCCUCUACUCGACACAGCAUCAGCCGAAAUUAAAAAGUACUUACAUGAUCUCAUAGAGGAAUUUAAAGAUGUACUCCUGAUCCAAGUGAGGCAAGAUAUAAAGAGAUUAAUUAAAGAAAUGACAAGCCCCGCCCAAGAGAACACAGAUGGAAGAACUGAGGAAAUCAGAAAAGAAAGAGAAGCAUCUGAAGAAGAAUUUAAGCAUAACUUAGAAUACAUGAAACAGAUCCAAAGAGAAUAUCAGGAAACUCAGAACUCCAUUGAAUAUUGGCAAAAUGCCUUGACAGAAACUAAAGACAACCUUCUGAAACUUGAAGAGAGAUUUAGGGCUUAUGAACGUGAAAGAAAAAUCCUCUUAAAAAUAACAAGGAACCAGAAAGAAGCAAUUCUAAAACUGGAAGAUGAUAAAAAGAUACAUAACCUAAGAAUAAAGAAUGUGAGUGAGGAAGCAGGAACAUCCAAAAAUGAAAUACAAAAAAUAUUCACAGAGAUAUUAAAGCAAAAUUUCCCACGUAUAGCAAAAAGAAAUGAUAUCCAGAUAAAAGAAGCAUACAGAACGCCAGCUACCUACAACCAAAACAGAUCUACGCCUAGGCAUAUAAUAAUCGAGAUCCCAGAAAUCCACCAAAAAAACAGAAUAUUAAAAGCAGCCAGAGAAAGGAUGCAGGUUACCUAUAAUGGGAAAUCUAUCAAAAUAACAGCAGACUUAUCAACACAAACUCUUAAGUCAAGAAGGGAGUGGGGAGAAAUAUUCCAAGUCCUGAAGGAAAAAAAUAUGCAACCUAAGUUCAUAUAUCCGUCAAAACUCUCUCUAAAAAUUAAUGAAGAAAUAAGAUACUUUCAAGACAAGGAGGAACUGUGGGGGUUCGUGGCCACCAAUCCAACCCUACAGAGAGCGCUGAAGGACAUUACAGAGAAAGAGAGGAAGCGAUAUCAGGAUUACAGCUACAGUGGCAGAGAAGCCUCAGUGAACGGGGCAGACCAUGGAAUGAGGGAAUAAGGUGGACAAAUUAUAGCAGAAAAGUGGAGUAGCAGACAUGAGGCAGAGACGGUAAGCUAGUCUUUAGUAGAGACAGCUCUGAAACUAUAUUUAAAAAAAAAAAGCAGAGGUCAUUGCUAAUGGUGUAUAACGAUUUAAAAGACACAGUAGUCCUAGUGACAUAUUUAGAUUGAAUUAAAUUUGUUCUGGUCUGUCCACUCAUAUCAGAUUUGAGGACACAGACCUCUAGAACCAAAAAUAGCAGGUUAUACCAUGGCAACUAUCCUUACUUUCCUAUUGACUUAGGCUGAAAUUCUGUAUUACUUACAUUGUCUUACUAUGACUGAUCUUAAUUGUAUCUGAAUCAUAAAACUAUUGGUUGGCCUUGACUGAUCCUAUUUGAAAUCGGUAUGCGUGUUAGAAUCAACCCUAAAAGUAGAGGAAACUACUCUGAGCAUGACAAGAUGUAAAGGAUAUCCAUACUGGUAUGAAUCAGUAACAGCUCUCAAAUACUACAAUGCAGUCAAAGAUAAGUUUUUAUAAAAAUAGGUGAUAGUAUGUUUAACUAUAAUAAGCCAGUGUUGUCGACAAAUCUAUUGAAAAUAACAAGAGAAAACAUAGUAGCUACGGAAGAUCAUUUAUAUUAUAGUUUUAUAAGUCCUAUCCAUUGCAUGUUUAUCUAGGAAAUUGUUUCGUUGUCUUGUUAUGACUUGGUUUUCCCUAUAAUACAGAGAGGAUAGGAACAAAUACUCUGAGGAAGAGACCUGAAAAACCCGAGGCUUAUUUUGUAGCAUUAUAAUAUAAAUUCUAGCAAUCUAUUGCUUGCUGAUUAAAAUGACUCUGGACUGGUUUCUUCAGCUCAACUUCAGCAUAUGCAGAGAUGGGGACGGCUAUCACAAAGAGAAUGAGAGAUGUGAUGGUAGUUGGUAUUGUCUUCCCUAAUUUGGAACUUGAGGACCUAAAAAGACUCCAUCAUCCUGUAAUGAUUUGAUUAGUUCUAUAAUAUGCAAUAAGUAUAGAAAGUGGGUGAAGUUAGGGACAACUAUUUGUAAGAAGCUAGAGACAGUUAGAUAAGGUAGAUCCCCAGUGGACUUGCUUUGAAAUCUGUAUUUCUUUAAAUUGUUUUUUAUUUUUUUUAAAAUGUUCUGUUCUGUUUUGAUAUGGUUAACCUUAUCCUCUUAGAGAUGUAAAACAAAUAGGUGGGACUGAUAAUCAUAUUACCGAGCUUUUGUUCGGCCAUAGAGCAGAAUGGUUUGUAGGGUCAUUUUUUUUUUUUUGAAUGUCAUUCUAUAUACUUUAAUUCUAUAACCUGAACAGCCAUUUCGAAGAUGACAAUUUGUAACUUAUCAACUGGCAAUUUCUUACCUUUUGUUUGUCUGUAAUUUAGAAUUAUUUCUACCCUUUUUUUUAAAUCUCCAUGUAUUUUUUUUCGUUUCCUUUUCUUUAAAUAAAUUAAAAAAAAAAAAAGAAAAUUGAACAACACAGGUCAUCUAAGAAAUAAAAGAGAAAUUUUAAUAGUUCUUCAGAAAGAAGAAAAUGGAAGCAACAUAACAAAACCUAUGGAAUAUAGCAAAAUCAACAGAAAGAGAAAAAGAGAUUAAUUUCAAUUAACAACCUAAUGACACACAUUUCAAGAAUUUAAAAAAUCAAGACUAUAAAUCAAUUCCAAAAUUAGUAUAAGGAAAGAAAUGAAAAAUGUGAGAGAAGAAAUGAGUGAAACAGACAUAAAAAAAUAUACAAACUAAAACUAAGCUGCACCUGGGGGCAUAUAGUUGUAAUCUCAGCAUUCUGGGAAGCUGACACAGGAGCAUCACCAGUUCCAGUUUGGUCCGGGCAGUUUGAGACUUAGUGAGAUCCUGUCUCAAAACAAAAAAGGACUGUGAAAACAGCUCAGUGGAAAGACUCUGGGUUUAGUCCCCGGUACCACAAAAGUAGAGAAACAAAUAAACAAAACAAAAGAUCAAUGAAAUAGAUUUUUAAAAAAUAAGAUCUACAAAGUUUUAGCAGGACAAGCCAAUAAAAAAAGAGAGAAAGCCAAAAUAAAGUAAAAUCAGAGAUGAAAAGGAAAACAUUACAAUUAAAACCACAGAUCUAAAGAGGAUCAUUAUAGAUUGUGCGAAUCUGUAUGCUAACUAAUUAGGAAACCUAGAACAAAUUAGAAAGCCUAGCAAAUGACCUACAAAAAGUGUUCUGCUAAAUCAUAAAAAACUUGAAUACAUUAAGAAUGACUAACGAGAUUGAACCAGUCGUAAGUCUUCCAACAAAGAAAAGUCUGGGUCUGUAUCACUUCACUGAUGAAUUGGAUCAAAUAUUUAAGAAAUUAACACCAAGUCAUCUCAAAGUAUUCCAAAGAAUUGAAAAGGAAAGAAUGUUUCAAAUUUAUUCUAUGAGACCAGAAAGAAAGACUAGGUAAAGAAUGUGAGAGGAAGUUCAGUCUAAGUUUCCUCAGAGCUGUAGGCAGUUCUUGAGAUGGUGUUGCUUGUUGAAGGAGUUCCUCGUGUCCCUUGGGUGCACAUGGGUAUCCCUGACACACCUGAAUCAUAAUGUGGAGGGGGCGGGGCAUGGAUUUCAGCAUAGCACUAGGGCCCCAGGUCUGUAACUGGAAGCUUUGAAAAAUCUGCUCAAGACAAUGACAGAUGGUCCUUUUUGAAUGUUUGAAGCUUUAAAUGUUUUGCCAUGUGAAUAUUUUACAGAAAAAGUGAUAUAAAUGUAUUUCUGGAAAUAUGGGCCAACUACCAGAUGAUAUGUUAAAAAUAGUUACUUUGGUCUAGUAAGAACAGAUUUGGAAAGGAUGAAAGGUAUGACUGUUCCUUUUUUAUUGUCCCUCUAGGACUACUGUUUUUAAUCUGUGUGUUUUUAUUACUUUGAUCAUUUUGCUAUAAGAAAAGAAGACAAAGAUAAGGCAAUAAAAAUACUGUUGUAGGAGUGGGAAAAUAAGUUUAAUUCUACAAAUUAGUUAAUAACAGUUAUUGAAUACUUUAUCACUAAUUACCAAAAUAUUUCUAGGAGGUAAAAAAUAUUAUUCCCAGUUAAUAGGAUUAAACUUUAAGUGAAGUGUUUUGCUAAAGAUCACACAUAUGGUAACUGCUAGUUUGAACUUGAAUCCAGGGCUAGAUCUGUGCUUUUUUCACAAGUAAAAGGUGAAGAAGCAUCUGACCAUAGAGCUGUGUGAACAGACCGUGUCCUGAUCCUCGGUUCCUAGGUGAGCACAAACAAUGCCAUGGCUCAGUGGAAUCGCCACAUCUCUGAAAGAACUGGUGUUGAUUAUUGUUUAACUACACUUCACAUAUUUAGCCUUUUAAAUCUUCUCUGAGAAAUCAUUUUUUCUAAUUCCUUAUUCAUCCUGGAAUAUCUUCUCAUAAUAAAAAUGUAUGAAGGAACAAGCGUAUGACUGCGACCUGGAACCUAGCUACAGAAGCACUGUAAGCUGCAUGCAGUCAGCAGCCCAUUUCCUCUGGAGGUGAACCUGGCAUGUGCUACCCAACCCUGAGCAGGUGCCCUGCCCAGGACCCUGCCCAGAGGACAAGCUGCUGGCUUCCUUUAUUCAUCUUAAAGAUUGAAAAAGACUUUACUCAUAAAGUGUUACCUUUCCUGACAACAUAACAGCUUUCUGCCUCAGCUCAAUGGAAACAAUCCCUGGAUCUCUGAUGCAAAUUUUAAAAAGAUCUUCUGUUUUGAUGGUGCCUUCUCCUGAGUUGACUUUGAUUGACAGUAGAGAAGAAAGUGAGAGGAGACCAUUGGCUGUGGAAUUACUGUCUUUGGCCCUAGAACGUGUGAGUUUAUGAGCAAGAUAUACAAUUUCACUACUAUAGGUGGGCAGAUGACUGCCAAGUAGCACAGGCUUAUCUUUGGGCAAGCACUGCAAAAGGUCUAUGUCAUGGUUCAGAUUUAAUACGCCCCACACAAUUCUUAUGCAUAUGGAAAGCGAUUGGAUCAUGGGAGCACUGUACUCCUCACUGGCCUUAGGCAUGGAUGUGUUCAGAAGCUGAGGUCCUGUUAGGAGGUGGGACCUGGCUGGAGAUGGCAGGGAAGAUGAGACUUGGCAAAGGGCGUUCUUGUCCUUGGAUCCUCCUUUUGCUCCCUGGCUGUGCCUCUUUGAACAGCUUUCCUCCUCCAUUCCCUUCUACGUGCCAUUUCUGCCAGCUGACCAUGGGCUGAAACGAUGAGCCAAAAUUAACCGUUUAAGUUGUGGAGGCUGGGUAUUGUCUCCCAGAGAUAGGAAAGGGACUACCACAGACUAGAGGGAGUGUUCUAUGUAAACUGACAGAUGCUUGACAGAGACCAACUCUAUGCAGCUCAGAUGUACUGCUUGUAGCUGACUGACCCUGGGCUCUCCUGGACGAGGGUGUGAUAGUAAUUAAGUAAUAAAGCUGUCUCCAUACAGACCAUUUGAACCUGCAGGUUUUCUAUACAUAGUGAAUUCUAACCUAAUCUGAUGUGUAAAGAGACACUAACCUACUUUGGUAAGCAGGUAGCUAAGUCUCAGCCAACCAUAGCAGCUGGCUUCAGUCCACUAAAGAUAGUUAACCAUUUAAAAUGCAAGUAAAGCACCCAUCAAGCUUUAACUAACCCCCCAAUCUCUGUACUUCAUUUCUGCUUUCUGUAUGUUACUUUCUUUGCUCUGGCUAUAAAGAUAAUGUAUAGGUGUGGUGGGAAGCAGCAUCCUGAACCACUGUUGAUCUGGACGGCUUCCUGGUUGUAGGACUACAAACACUAAGUCUAUGCAAAACCAGAAUUGCUAUAAAUUUUUUUUCUCUCUCUUCCUUCCUUUCUUUCAUAUUGAACACUUCACGAAUUUGUGUGUCAUCCUUGUACAGGGGCCAUGCUAAACUUCUCUGUAUCGUUCCAGUUUUAGUAUAUGUGCUGCUAAAACAAGCACAAAUUUUCUCUUUCAAUAAUAGCAUACAAUGAUAAUAGAAUAGAGUGAAAUGAUCAUCGGUAAUAAAAUCAUAAGAUUCUGUGAAGAAUAGUACAUAAUGCAAAUUGAAUUCUUAGCAAGUGCCUGAUAAAUACUCAACACAUGUGAGCAAUUCAUACUACAAGAAACCUUAUACAAUACAUAUUUUAUUCUCUGAGAAUGAACUUUUGUUGAUAGGAAAAUAUACCUGUUUAUUUAUACUAUAAAUAAGAAACAUAAAAGACAAAAAAAAGAGAGAUAAAGGAAAAGAUUAAUUGAUCUAACUGCAUACACAUUCACAUUUUUCUAUUUCAAAAGUCCUAUAAACAUAAAUUCAUUCUCAGAGAAUAAAAUAUCUUGGUACACAUAUUUUGAAACAACUGCUUUUCUUAACAUUGUGUUCCUCAAUCAUUUCUAGGUAAUUGUUUUCCGAAUUAAUAAUUUUUAUUUAAUGUUUUAUAUUUAAA